AAAAUAUCAGUUGCAACAAAAAUGCAAUAAUAAAAUAAUAGAUUUUAAUAGGUAAAAGCGAGUUGUAAUAGUUUUUCAAGUGCUCUCAUCAGUAAACUGACCAGGAAACAAUUUUCAAUUUUAAAACGCCCAGACGUGACCCGCAUAGCAGCAGGGCAUCUGGUGGUAGACAUUUUCCUCGACCUCCCCUCACCUCACCGCAAGGCUUCCCUCUAACCAAGGGAUAGAAAACCCCAUCAACUUAGGAGUAAAAAACAGAACAGAACAAAACAAAAAAACUUGUAGCGCUUCAAGCAUGGAUAGACUCGCGUUCCUGCCCUCCUUGCUUAAGCUGCGUGCCCCCAGGAAAUGGCACAAAUCAUUCUUGGCACCACUUGGGGCGACUGCACACCUGGGGCCCGAGGUGGGGGUCUAUGCCUAGGUUAGAGUAGUUUCCAAACUGGAGUCUUGCCUGUUUGGGGCCCAUGGGAACUUGACUUACCUUUGGCCACGUAGCACCUUUCUUUGCCCUGUUAUCAAAGACACAAUGAGCGCUCUCCUCCCUGUAAACUGGGACUUACCAAGGGCAUACCUGAGCCCAUCAGGCCCCCAGGGACCCGGUCUCAGGUCUACUUUGCUCCGCGAGAACACUUGGUACUGCGUUCACACCACAACAGAAUCUGUCACUUAGCCGACCUCUCUGAAUUCAACUGAGGUAUGAAUCAAUUUGAGGUAUGAAUAGGGAAGGCAAAAUGCAAUACCCGAUUAUGAAAAUAAUCCAAAUGGACAAAUUGAAUGUAGAAGAUCUGUGGCUUGGAUUGCUCCACAUCUUUGGUUAAAAACAUAUUAAGAAAAGCCUUUAAUUACAUCUGUAGUCUGAAGUGUUCUAACAGACACCAGUAUUCCAUCAAUCUUCAAAAGAUCUGUAGUGGCAGGAAAUUAACGCCAUGUAAGUGACAUCACAGCAGAUGGCACAAAUGGGAACAGAUGAAGUAUGCCAUGCUUAGGCAACAGCCUUUAUUGAGGGUUCAAGUGGCUGCUUCUUUAAAAAAAAAAACUUUUUUUUAAAGAAAGAAAAUACAAAACAUUUACCCUCCGGAAAAACAAACAAAAGCUCAUGAUAAGGGGCAAAAAAAAAAAAAAAAUGCUAUCUCUAAAUUCAAAGAUGGGUAUGCAAGAAAAACAAACACAUCAAAGUGUGAGAGGGCAGACAUUCUUUUAAAAAGUGUAUUGGAACUUUUUUGUUUUAGUCACCCUGAAAACGAUCUGAGGAUGACAGGUAUCUUCAUAUUCAUCAUUAUAAAAUGCUAAAUUCCACCUUUGGGAAAAAAUAAGCCAUUUUACUAAAAAACACAAUUUUAAAAAAGGUUGAAAUGAACAGCCUUCCACUCACCAAUGCAUACAAUAUACAGGUGGUGCAGCUUGCGUAUCUUGCAUGUGUUACCAGUACUGAAGCUUAAUAUUACCAAAAAUCUUUGAAAAUAGGAUUAGCUAUAACAAUAUUUGUAGCUGUGUAAAACGCUGUUUAUGGUUCUUUUGCUCGCAAUGAAGAAUGUUGCCUAAAAUGUUACCCUAGGAUGGGGUAUGUAAAAUAACACUCCCUCAGGGCUCUGCCCUAGACUCCUGAAUACAAAGGAUUUACUGUGAAAAAAACCCAAAACCAUACUAGCUUUGCAAAUACAAUAAAUGGUAAAUUACAGAUAAGGUAGAAGGGUAA
ensembl:lncRNA